rnacentral:rRNA from 1 species
AGCCUCUAAGCUUCAGGUUUACGUCACCCGUACCCGAAACCGACACAGGUGGGCUAGGAGAGAAUCCUCAGGCGCUGGAGAGAACUCGGGUGAAGGAACUCGGCAAAUUAGCACCGUAACUUCGGGAGAAGGUGCGCCCGCAUUACGUGAAACCCCUGCGGGUGGAGCGGAAGCGGGCCGCAGUGACCAGGUGGCUGCGACUGUUUACUAAAAACACAGCACUCUGCCAACACGAAAGUGGACGUAUAGGGUGUGACGCCUGCCCGGUGCCGGAAGGUUAAGUGAUGGGGUCAGCGCAAGCGAAGCUCUGGAUCGAAGCCCCGGUAAACGGCGGCCGUAACGAUAACGGUCCUAAGGUAGCGAAAUUCCUUGUCGGGUAAGUUCCGACCUGCACGAAUGGCGUAACGAUAGCCACACUGUCUCCACCCGAGACUCCGUGAAAUUGAAAUCGCUGUGAAGAUGCAGCGUACCCGCGG